rnacentral:lncRNA from 1 species
GGUUGAUUGGUGUCUUUCUUUGGGAUUUAGGAAGCAGGAAGGACACUGGAAUACUCUUCAGCCAGUGAUGGUGUUGAAGGUGGUGCUGCUGUGGCCCCAGGACUGGAGUGGACCCUAUUCUACCUUGUCAGUGACAGCAAGAAAGCUGGUGUCUACAGAGAAAAAUGGAGCAGAUGUGCAGAGGAGGACAGAUCUAACACACAGUGAGAGGGACUGAGAGAGUCGGAGAAGCUACCCACUUUUGCAAUUUCCAGUCCUUGGUUUCAGACCCUCCUGAGACCAGUGUACACUAGAGACUGUGGAGCUAAAUUAGGCUGUUAAUACUUCUCAAAGAAUUCAGGAGAAGCAAUCAGGUGUGUUAACCAUUGGUGAGAGCCAAUGACUGGCCCUCAAGUGGGCAGGGGUCUCUCUGUGAAAGGAGUCUGUCCACUUAGAGCUAACCCCUAAGCCAGUGAGCUGGAGUAAGGGGUAGGCAGAAGAUGGAAGUUCGCUCAGGUGAGCUCAUAGCAGGGUUCUUAUUUAAGGAAUGAUAGAGAUUGAAUGAUUAUUCUUAAUUCUUCACUCUCUCCCUGUAAUAGAAUUACAUGUUCACGCCUUUUGCCAUAUAGCUUUGCACAUAUCCUACUAGAAUAGGUGAAAAAAAUAUUCCCAUCUCUUCAAUGGUGGACGUGGUCAGUUGACUUGCUUUGGAUAAUGAAAUACAGAUGAACUUGACAAUGAGGUGAGGUGAGGUCUUCAGAGUCAUGGAAAGUUGCCACUGGCUACCAACCUCCCUUUUUUUGAUGGUACUAGAGUUUGAAGCUCUACCACUGAGCUACAUCCUCAAUCCUUUUUAUUUAUUUAUUUUUUAAAUUUGAGACAGUAUUCUCUCAGUUGCCCAGGCUGGCCUCAAAUUUGCUAUCCUCCUGCCUCAGCCUCUUGUGUUGCUGGGAUUACUGGUAUGUGCCACUGCACCCAGCUCCACUAGUCUUUUCUUGUAUCCUUCCAUCCAUAAUGAGAAGAGUCUGCCCCAGGAAGUUGAGGGUCCCAGAAAUAUAUGAAACUGAUCUGUACUUGACCCAGUGCUUGAUUCAGAGCCUCUCAACCCAACCCACAGAUUGUAAAUGGGAAAAAUAAAGAUUAUUUUUUUUAAAUAAGCCACUAAGACUAUGGGAUUGUUUAUUACUUGGUAAUGGCUGACUAAUACAGAGAAGAACUGAAUCCUAGGAAAAAUGUACAAUAGAAGCCAAGGAGCCUGGUAGUACCCAAAUGGGCCCAGCCUGGAGAAGGGGAGGGGAGAGUCAGACUCAGAGGCAACAUGAGUAGUCAUGUGGAUUCUUACAGGUCAUCCCAGAGGGCACCAGACCCAUGUAUGAUUGGAAGAGGGAAAUGAGAGUGGUCUGGGGGAAAUACCUGUCACCUCAUUGAUCAUCUGGCUUGAAGGGAAAAUCAGGAGGAACACAGGAGCCAAGCAGCUGUAACUGAGCUGGUGACAUUAUUCUAAGCCAUUGUGUCAGCUUGGGCUUCAUACACUCCCCAGGUUGGUCAGCACUGACCCAGAAACUGGGCACAAUGGUGGAUCUUGUUGUGAAGGACCUGGGAAGGCAUGAGCAGAAAAACAAAUUGGAGAAUAUACAAUCUCAGCUCCCAAAUGCUUC